rnacentral:lncRNA from 1 species
UAUCAAACACCUGCAGGUUUCCAAGAAGUUCUCUGCUGAAAACCAGAAGCAGCUGGGUGGAGGAGAGGCCAUUUUAUCAGUAACCAAUAGGUUUCUGUGCUCCACUGACCUUGAAGUCAAUACUAGUGCUAAGAGCUCACUGUCUGCUGCUUCUUCUUGCAUUAUUGGUUUCAGAACCAUAAAAACAUUAGAGAUUUACUAUAAAUCACAGUUCAGUUGGGUUUUGUUGUCUUGGUUCUUUUUUUUUUUUUUUUUUUUUAACUUUAACUUAGCCUGGCCAUGUUCGUUUGUGAUUUGUGGAAAUCACCAGAAACCAAUGAAUGAGCCCCAAAAGAGCUGCCGCGGUGACUUUGGCAAAGACGGAGGCUUUUGGAUCUGUGAAGUCAGCAUUUAUAUUUGCAAUCUUUCAAAAUUGGAAGGAAGGAAAUGGAAAGAAAAACUACAGUGUUUGAAUUUUUUACAAAAUGUUUCAAUAUUCUUAGGUUCUUAUUUUAAUAUUGCUGUGCUUUUCCGAUCGCAAAUGGUGCAGUAAAGUAGAACUGAAUUUGCUAGUUGUUUCCCUGUUUGCUUAUUUGCGUUUUUGUUGUUGUUUGUUUUUUUUUCUUUUUUUGCCUUUUUUGUUUUUUUUCUUUUUUUGCCUUUUUUGUCUUUUUUUUUUUUUAAACUGGAGAGAAGGCUUUUGGUGGAAUAAUUUUGCUUAGAUCUAGUCACAGUACCUUGCAUAUGGGAAUCAUUAAGGGUGUGAGAUUAAGAGCCUAUCAGCCGAAGGCAAUAAAAUCAGUUUUAAACUUCUGGUGUCCA